AUUGAACGCUGGCGGCAGGCCUAACACAUGCAAGUCGAGCGAGCGGCGGACGGGUGAGUAAUGUCUGGGAAACUGCCUGAUGGAGGGGGAUAACUACUGGAAACGGUAGCUAAUACCGCAUACCAUCGGAUGUCCCCAGAUGGGAUUAGCUAGUAGGUGGGGUAAAGGCUCACCUAGUCGACGAUCCCUAGCUGGUCUGAGAGGAUGACCAGCCACACUGGAACUGAGACACGGUCCAGACUCCUACGGGAGGCAGCAGUGGGGAAUAUUGCACAAUGGGCGCAAGCCUGAUGCAGCCAUGCCGCGUGUAUGAAGAAGGCCUUCGGGUUGUAAAGCACUUUCAGCGAGGAGGCGUUACUCGCAGAAGAAGCACCGGCUAACGCCGUGCCAGCGGCCGCGGUAAUAC
rnacentral:rRNA from 1 species